rnacentral:tRNA from 1 species
GUCUUCGUGGCUCAGUUGGCUAGAGCGUUGGUCUCAUACUCGUUAUGAUCCAGUCACAGAUUGGGCUAUCCAAAGGUCGUGAGUUCGAGCCUCACCGAGGACA